AUUCCAGACUCCUACGGGAGGCAGCAGUGGGGAAUAUUGCACAAUGGGGGAAACCCUGAUGCAGCGACGUCGCGUGAGUGAUGAAGUAUUUCGGUAUGUAAAGCUCUAUCAGCAGGGAAGAAAAUGACGGUACCUGACUAAGAAGCCCCGGCUAACUACGUGCCAGCAGCCGCGGUAAUACGUAGGGGGCAAGCGUUAUCCGGAUUUACUGGGUGUAAAGGGAGCGUAGACGGCGGUGCAAGCCAGAUGUGAAAGCCCGGGGCUCAACCCCGGGACUGCAUUUGGAACUGUGCUGCUAGAGUGUCGGAGAGGCAGGCGGAAUUCCUAGUGUAGCGGUGAAAUGCGUAGAUAUCAGGAGGAACACCGGUGGCGAAGGCGGCCUGCUGGACUGCAACUGACGUUGAGGCCCGAAAGCGUGGGGAGCAAACAGGAUUAGAUACCCCAGUA
rnacentral:rRNA from 1 species